UGGCAGUCUCACAGAAAUAAAGCUUUCCUUAAAGGUCUAUAGCUGCAGGCAUGUGAAAAUAAUCAUCAUCAUCAUCAUGGAUUUGGCAAAUUGAAUAUGGGAAAUGAGAUGGGCAACAAUAACACUUCUGGAUUGCGAGAAGAGGAUAACACAACCCCUGAAGCUCAGGGAAAAUUUUUGCAAGAAACUGAUCAUAAUAGUGAUGUAAAAGGAGAAAAUUAUGUGGUACCGACAACUGGAUGUAAAGAUUAUCAUCAGACAGAGACAGGGUUAGACUUUGACGAUCCAAACGGAGAAGGAGAUACUCCUGCUCAUAACCAGACAUCUGAUGGAACAGGUCAAAAAGAGACUGGAGUUAAUCCUUCUGUUGAAUCUGCAGAAGCUGAAAAGAUAUCAAAUGAAGAAGGUGGAAACGAUAGAGACAUUCAAUUUGCAGCUUCUUUUUCAAAGGAAAUGAAAGGUCACAGAAACCCAACAUCAUCAGAGAAUGUUUUGGAAACGAGUAAUAAUUGUAUUGAAAGGCAGCCUUCCUUCAAGAAAGAAGAAGAGGAUAUUCCAAAUUCAACUUUUGUUGCAAUAUCCUCAGCACAUGAUUCAGAAUCUGAAGAUUCUGAAGAACCAAAGCCUGAUCAACAUGAAUUUACAAAAGUGCAUGCUGAGCAAUCGGAACAAGAUAGCACUAAUUCAUUGAGAGGAAUUGCAGAUGUCUUAGGAACAAGUGCUGAAUACAGUAGCAAAAAGAACAGUCACCUGUUAGAUAUUUACAUGUCUGAUAACCUGGAAGGAACUAUUGAUUCUGCUACUAAUCUAGAUGUGGAGAUAAGAAAGGAUGAUUUGUUGGUGAAAGAAAUGGCAUCUCAGGAAAUCAAUAUGCCCAGCAAAGAGAAAUUUGAAGUUAUUUUAUCAUUGGAUCUUCCAAGUAAUGUUGGAGAGAAAUAUGGAGAGUUAGCUGGUAAGAUGAAUUGUAAUGAAACUAAUUUCUUGGAGUCAAAACAAGGAGCCAAUCUGGUGGCUGAAUCAUUAGAUUCCCAUUUAGAAGCCUCCCUGCCUGAAGACAAAACCAUGGUUCUUCCUAAUAUGGUUCUUCCCGACAAGGCUAAAUUAAUAGGAAAAGAAUCGGAAAGUGGAGAAAAUAAGCAUGAUCUUCGUUUUCCAGUAGGAGAAUCCAAUAUUGAGAAGGCAAAUGGAUCUGAAACUGAUUCUUUGAGAAGGCUUAAUUGCAAGAACAUUGAAAUGGACGGUUCUGUUAUCACUGCUCAAGAUGCUGCUAGCAAUGGGGACUGCCAAAUUGAGGAAGUGAAGGUUGUUGAGGAAUCUGACAACCAGAAUGAGGCUUCUGAAGAAAAUUGCAAGGGUUCUGAAGGAAAGAUAGCACAUGAGCUUGGCAUAUUUGCAGCC
rnacentral:misc_RNA from 1 species